AUGGGCACCGAUCUCUUUGGAAGCACAACUCAGUGGGGCGAAAUGAUCGAUGAGAUGUAUGAUCCUGAUAUACCAGGACCAUCACAUCAAGCACCUCAUAAUCAAGCAAGUCAGAACAGGCCAAAAACACCUCAGGAAAAUCAACAGAGGGGAGUGAGACAAGGGGCGAGGCAAAGGCGCAACCGUUUAUGUCAUACGGGGACCCGCUUAGGUUGA